ensembl:lncRNA
UUUUUGGUUAAUUUAUAAUUUAUGUGAAUUAUUAUUUUGGUUGUUUUUCAGAAAUGGGUGAUUCAGAGCUAAACACUUUAAACAUCAGCAAUGCCAUUGAUGCUGUAUUACCUGAACUCUCAAUCGCAACUAAAAAAUCUCUUGAGGACACCUUAAAGUCACUUGGAGUGGAGUCCCCAGAAGAUUCAAGCCAGGAAAUUUAUUUCUGUUCUAAAGGAGACCACACAAAUUUCUGAAAGAGGAAGUGAAGGUUCUCAUGAAAUCUACAUACUAGAGUCAACGAAAAGAUAUCAACAAAGGAACAGACAUGAAAACCCUUACUGAAGAGUGGCCAUUUUUGUUUCAGGAAAGUGGAACUGAAGUGCACUUUAAAGACCUCACAGGGAUACCACUUAAAGAGAUCUUCCUAAACAGCAUUGACACAAAGGGAAACAGGCUGUUGAACUUCAUGAGGAAUGUUUGUGCAACCAGGAACAAGCAUGUCUUACGGGCUGUCACAAAACUUCAAGUUUUGAGAGGACAGACAAAUGGUUGAUUCUUCUACUUCUCAAAAUUCUUGACUUGAUUCUUCUACUUCUCUCCUAUUUUGAUGAGAAAGAGGCGCUCCUUCUUCAUUAUGUAGAAGAGACAAGCCUUGAAAAGGAUGAAGAGUUGGGAAACUUGCCUGUGACCCCUUGCAUCAUUGUCUGUGGUAAGUUUAAGUUUUAUUCAUAUACAGUAACACCCUCAAAGCUUUAAUGAUUAAAUGUUUAUCUAUAAAGUUGAGUUUAUAUAUUUUAACAGUGGUGGUCUGUGCCUCCUCUUCUGGAAAGACACCUGCUUAACCCUCAACUCUGAUUUCACAAUAAUAUUAAGACCCUCCUGCUAUGCUGCUGAUCGAUUCAUGCUCAGUGUGGACCGCAAGAUUGUGAAUGAUGACAUCACUACAUUCAUCGCUGCUGUUAGCCUAAUGUUCGGCAGUUAUUACUGUUUCAACGUUCACCACCCUACUGAAUUGGCAUCAGUGCUUGAAUUUUUGCAAAGGUAUGUAGAGACACCUAGUACCUCACAAAAGUGAGAAC